GGUUCUGUAGUAUAGCGGUUAGUACUGGGGACUCUAAAUCCCUUGACCAGGGUUCGAAUCCCUGCAGGACCU
rfam:Ichthyophthirius multifiliis unplaced genomic scaffold scaff_1120509250246, whole genome shotgun sequence.